AACCACAACGUUAAUGGUUAACAACAAGCUUACAACAACCUUAAUAAAGUGGCGAGACUUACAUCAAAGACACAAAAUCUAGAAAUGAUUGGAACUUGACUUGAAAAGAUCCAAACGCAUAAGGUUCUUCUUGUUAAUAAACAUGAACCAUUUAGAUUUUCAAUAUACUAAUACAAACUAAGACAAAUAUCUUCUCCAAUCACCACCCCAAAUCAUUACCAAACGCACAACUGUAACUAAGCAAGAAGUACAUUAGGACCAAUCUCUUAAUCGUUGUCACGGAUUGGUCGCGUGUCAAUCAAGAUCAUCAAGAUCACUUUUAUGUCUUAGUGCUUCUUCUUCUUCUUCUUCUUGUUAUUAUUAUAUUUUGGUUUCUUGAGCAAAAAGUGUUAUGUUGUGAUCUUCAUUUGCCUUAGAGACAGAUAAGCUAGGAGGCGGUAACCGAAGAUCAUGGCAACGAGUGCAACCACUUCAGUCAGUCCAUUGUCUAUUCUCAUCCCGUUGAUAGAUUGAGCAAAGUCUUUAUACUGCACUUUAAGAAGAAGCUUGUAGGUGUGGUAAUUGAAGGAUAGGUAACGUAUCCAGGAGAUGAACACCGGUACUUUCUGAAGGACACAAAACAAAAGAGCUCAGAAACAGAGGAAAUCAAGAAACAAAGGAAAUCAAGAAACAGAGAACUUACCUUAACAAAGAAUCCUCCUGCGAGCAUAAAUGUCAUGACAGUAACUGAAGCCAAAGUCGUAGCCUUCUUUAAGUCCAUUAAGAUUGCUCCAAUAGCAAGUCCAAGUCCCUAGCAAAGAGUAAACAUAACUCAAACUCACCAUUUUGAUCUUACUUUCCCAUUAUAGAAAUGUGUUUUUUGGUCAAUCAGAACAUACCUGAGAUGCAAUGAUGCAAAGGAAGACCGUGAGCAUGCUCAAGAAGAAAGGAUACGGGCUAAGACGAAGACCAGUCAUGAAAUAGACCACGAGGAGGAAGAGAGAAGGCAGGAUAAAGUCUAGAGGGAGAUCACUCGUGGUCCUAGCCAAGAAAUACGCACUUAGUCUAUACAUAUCAGCUGCUCUCUCUUUAUUCAGCAUAGCUCGCUCUUGAGGGAACGCAAAGAUGGCUGUGAAAACAGGGAAGAACCCCCAGAAAACCGCUAUGAAGAAGAGCAAACCAGCCUGUAAACAACAAAAAAGAUCAUGUGAUAUUCAUGUUUCUUGAGGUACAAGGCAGAGAGGAGUGUGCAUCAAGAUACCUACCUGAUCUUGUAGUCCUCUUGGAGUGCGAAUAUCUGACUGCCACCAGAGAAGACCUAGAAUAACAGCUGUGGAUAAAACUUGUGUGACACGCAACCAGCUGAAGUAUUCGUGUCUGCGCUCUUUGAGUCCUCUAGAGAAGAGUAUGCAGUAUUGCUCCCACCAGCUCGCUCCCCAUUGUCUCUUUAGACGCAGAACUUUAGCUUUAGCUUCUUCGUCAAGUGGAACAGGAUCAGAUAGUUUCUUCUUCUCCUGUUCUGCAACCCUAGUCUCGUAUGCCUCCACCAGAUACUGCUUAGAAUGUUCCAAUAUAUAUUAAAACUCAUUUUGUUCCUUUUUAAUGAAUUUUAAAUUUAUUCACAUAAAAAAAACCUUGUUACAAUAGAUGUAUUGUUUGCUAAAGAAUUUAGAAAAAAGAGUUCUUUAAGUUUUUUGAAUGAAUUUUUUUACAUCUUUCAUUAUUGUUUGCUAAAGAAUUUAGAAAAAAAAUAAUCUUUAAUAUAAUUUUUUGAAUGAAUUUUUUUACAUAUUUGAUUAAUUUUUUAUGAAAGAGUAGUCUCUCUAUUUUAUUUUUUUAAACUCAAUUUGGUUUUCAGACAAUCUUAAGUUGUUGUUUGUGUGAUUACCUCAUGGACAGCAGCAGGAGAUGGCUUGCCAGUUUGAGGUUCUCUGCCUGAGUUUCCUACUUGAACUCUAUCUUCCAAAUCAGAAGGCACAGAGAUGUCGUUGAUGUUACCGUUGGCGAGAUCAAGCAAGAACUCAGCAGGGUUCAUGGUGAUAAGAGGAGAGCAACCAAUGGAAGAAAAGUAAACAAGAGCUUCUGAUGAUUUCCCAAAAUAGAGAAGGUUUCCUCUUCCUAAUAGAAUCAGCUUAUCGAAUCUAUGGAAGAGUCUACUAGAUGGCUGAUGUAUCGUUGUGAUCACUGUCUUCCCCGCCUGUUCCAAACACACAUCAAGAUUCAGACAACCAUCAAAGAGAGUAGUAGAGAGAUACAAAGUGUCUGAAACAAGCAAACCUCAGCGAUGUCGUGGAGCAUCUGGAUGGUUCUUAGAGCAGUGGUGGAGUCUAAACCGGAAGUUGGUUCAUCAAGAAGUAAUAGAGAAGGGUUAAUGAUGAUCUCGUUUCCAAUGGAAACUCUUUUCCUCUCUCCACCUGAUACACCUCUCACGAAUGCUCCACCAAUCAUAGUGUCUUGACACCUCUCCAGACCUAGCUCUUGGAUAACUUCAAUAGCACGCUGCUCCUUUUGCUCCCUUGUGAGAGUUUUAGGUAGACGCAAACGAGCAGCGUAGGUUAGCGUUUCUUUAACCGUAAGAUGAGGAAACAGAACAUCGUCUUGAGUCACAAACCCAAUCCUGCCAUCAAACCAGAAAAAAAAAAUUGAGUCUCCAUAUAUACAAUAAUACAAGAGAGUUUAGGGUUUAGGGCAAAAAGAUACUUACUUGCUUUUCAAGUAUUUAGAGUAAGGCUUGUCGUUGUAAGUAACAGAGCCUCCACUGGCGGAUUGAGAGAUUCGGCCACCGAGUAAGCUAAGAAGAGUUGUUUUGCCACUCCCUGAAGGACCCAUGAGUCCUCAGAGUUUUGAAGUCUUUCAUGCCAAAAUUAGGACCAUGACCUCAUCGAUGGAAACAUAUGGACCAAAUGUCUCAAGUUCAGAUGUUACAAGUAUGAAUCACUUUCUAAGUUCGUCGGUUCAUUCUAUUGGUGGUAAUAUGGUCAUGCCUAGCAAGUGGAUUGCAGAAGCAAUGGAUAUUGGCUGCUGCAAACUCAAAACCUGAUAAGCAAACUGUCUUUUCCCUUAUGUUUCAGCCAAACGAAGAAGAGAUAGUUCUUGUCCCAAAAAGGGACAAUGAGAUUUGGUUUGGCUGUAAACAGGCAACUCAUCUUUGGCUCAUCCUUUCAUUAAGUUUGUUUACUUCGUCUGUUUUCUUAUACACAUCUUCAAGACUGGUGAGUAAAACCAUGGUUUAGCUUGAGUUUCAAGUAUAACUACUGAAGAAACAAUGAUUGGUUUGCUACUACCCUCUUGUUCCAACCAGUUUGUGUUUGUGGGAUAAAAAUACUCAGUUUGCCAGAUUAAUGAUGUUGUCUUGUGUGCAUGUGUUUUUGAAGAAAAAAAAAAGAAUAAAGAACUCUUCCUUUAACCUUUCCAUAGUUUAAGAGCUUUAUCAAGACCACCAGAAGCUACUUUCUCACCAUCUGGACUCCAAUCCACAGCCCAAACCUUUCCAACACAACAAAAAAAACGAAAAAUUAUGAGAGAAAAGAGUGUAAAAAAAAAAAGCAAAACCAACAACUUGAGCUUUGAAGUAGUUUGAUACCUCAUCCUUAUGACCAGGGAGAUCAUGUUUUAGCUUUUUUGUUCCAAUCUCCCAUACCUGUCAAAGUCAAACAUAUUGAGGUUUAUUUGGUAGUUCUACUCUCUACUGUGUUAUCAAAUGUAAAAACAGGAUUUCACCUUGAGAGUUGAAUCUUUGCUGCAACUCAAAAGCAUCCUACUGUCAGGUGACCAACUGAUCUGAUAGACACAGUUAGCGUGGCCUCGGAAUGCUGUAAUAAAUUUUCCUGUGACACCAUCCCAUAGCUUCACAGAUUUAUCGAACGAUGCACUUGCAAUCCAUUGCCCAUUUGGUGAGAAAUACACAUGGUUUACAAGCUGUUUAUUGAGUUGACACCAAACAAAAUGUAAGAGUUCAAAAAUAAAAACAGAAACAAAAAAAAAAAAAAAAGUUUAGUAGCUAGUAGUAACCUGUUGAUGACCAGUACCAACCUGGCUGUAGUAACCAUUUUUUGUUUAGGUUGUAAGCUAACGGAUGGUUCCCAAAGGAUUAUCGUAAAAUCAUCAGAACCAGACACUAAUCUUUCAGGAGAAUCUACUUUCCCUUUUGCUUUGAUGUAUCUUUCAAGUGCAAUCUUACCACACAUAUAGGGAGAGGAUCAGAAUCAGGCUAGAAAAAGACGAGGCAAAGCCAGUAGAAUCAUCAGAAGCUUAUUGUUACCUUUUUCAUUUCUUCAUCUGAACCUGUUACUUGUCUAGUGUUGUCAAACGCUCCUGUCCGAAGAACAUAUUCUGUACUCAAUGAAAGGGAGUUCACCCAACCGGCAUGGUCCUGAAGAAGCAAGUAACUUGAGAAAUGUUAUCUUAAAGUAAAGACCUAGGAGACAAAAAAAAGUUACCUUCAAUAUAUGUUUGAGGAUUCCUUGACCCUGCUGAGUGAUCUCCCACAUCCUUAUGGUACUAUCUUGUGAACUGCACAAUAACAUGUUAACAAGAUAAAACACCAAUAAGAAACAUUUCAGGUUAUUAUAAAAAUGUAUGUACCCUGUGUAUAUAGUUCCAUCACCACCCCAUUUGACACAGGUCACAGCUCGUGUGUGUCCACUGAGGACAAUAAGAGUUCUCUUCAGUGUAAAGUCCCAGAUCCUUGCAUCCCCAUCUUUGCCACAAGUCACAAAUCUCCUGCUUGGAUAACUAAGAUGAGCUGGUUCCCACGCGAUACCACAAAUCCACUUCUUGUGACCCUACGAAAAAUUGAAGAUCUAUCAGUAAACACACACAAAAAAAAACAUAACCAACAAAACAUUUAUAAAGUAAAGAAGAGUUUAACUGAAAGUGCAUUGCCCUGUAAUUCUCCUUUGCUUGGAUCCCAACAACAGACUUUUCCAUCUCUAUCACCGCUCACAAGACACUUUGCAUCUGGUGACCAUGCAACUGCGAGAACAUGUUCCUUGUGCCCUGAACAAACGUUACAGGAACUAUGUUUAUUACAAGAAAUCUAAAUAUAGAUAGACAUCAUUAAAAAGAAAAUCAUAAGACGUUUCGAACCUUUGCAUGUAAACAUUGGAGUUUCAGUGUUGAGAUCCCAAAGCCUUACAGUUUUAUCACCUGAACCACUUGCUAGUUGCUUACCGUCAGGGCUAAACGAAACACAGAGAAUCUCACCCUCAUGAACUAACAAAAGCCAAUCAUAAUCACUCGAACCAUCUCUUCUAAAACUCAAAUACAAAAAUCAACAUUAACUUUAACAUAUAAUAUAUAUAUACCAUCGCUUAUUGUCUGUGAGCAACGGUAAACCGGGCGAAUCCUGAAAACAGCUUGUUGUCGAUAAACAAUCUUCAAAACAUUCUCCACGGACACUAAACCACACAUGUUCAUGUCAAAACAUUAAUAAAAAAUAUACUAAGAUAAUGUUUUCUAUAGAAAACAUAAGAGACCAAACUGCUUUGCUUAUUAUUAGGGUUUUACCGCUAUUUCUCUCCAUGCAAGUUCCCACUGAGACAAGAAGCUCUUCAUCUGAUACAUAGAAGCUGUAAGAUAACUUCUCCUCCUGGAUAUUAUCAAUUUCCCAUGAAGUCAUUUCAAUAUUAGGUUCGGUAAGUAUAAUCAAUAUCAGAUUCGAAAGGAUAGAAGAAUAUACAUUGUUGAGAAACGUAUUGACCAAGUUGGUGAGCUGCAAAUGCCCUGCGUUGUGAGGGAUAUACAUAGCAGAACCUAGUGGAGUUCCUUCUGCGUCUGUUAACAGACACAUCACUGUGUUCAUCGCCAUCUCCGACGCUUCCGGCUCUAUGUUCGACGACAAACUCCGAUGGAAAAUAGACAAAGGCUUUUGCGAUAUAAAUAUAAACCCUAAAAGUAAAAGUUAUUUAUUUAAGUAAAUCCUCCAAAUUAACCCUCUAUUUAUAAAUAAACCCCAAAUUUUCCUUUUGAAGUCUUAUAACCCCUAAAUUACAAUUGCCAACCUAAAUGUUUUCAUGUAACGCCGUUAAUGAUUUAACCACGACGUGGUUAACACGCAUUUAACAUUAGAGAUCUUAAACUGCAAAGGAUUUAACCACAGUGUGGUAUUUUUUUUUUGGUAAGUGGGCUUUAAUUGUUGGUUAGCAUACAACUGUCAUUCUCGGAGAUUUGGACUUUAAAGGUAGGUAGGUACAUGUGCUAGUAGUUAACAAACAAACACACACUUAACAGUAGUUCAAACGCAACAACUCAGAAACUUCAGUUUUGUGUCUUUAUCCCAUCCUCUCAACUCUCUCUAUAAAUAAGAUUUCAAGUGCAUGCAUGUCUAUCUAUAUUUCAACAUCACAAAUACAAAAGAAAGAAACUCAAAGCGACGGCCAUGGCAAAAGUUGGGGAUCUAGAGACAUGCAUCAAUAACAGAAUUAAAGAGAUCGAGGAGGAAGAAGAACGUAAUUUGAAGAUACUUAAGGAGUUGGAGACUCAGAUCAUGUCCCCAACGGAAAAAGGUCGUAGCCUUUGAUCACCUUUCUCAAACCGAUAUUGAUUAAAAAAUUCUUUCUUUUUUUUGAGAUUGAGAUUGAUAAUUUAAGAUUGAUAAUUUAGGUACGCAACAUCCGUCUACAAGUAUCAACAAGCCAAUUCUUGGGGAUGAUGUCCCAAAGGCUUCAGAUGUUGCACCCGAAGGGGGACCUUCUUUCCGCCCAAAGGGAAAGGGAAACAUGAAACCAUCUGAUGACGAUGAUGAGAAGAAGACCAAUGAAGGAAAGAGCAGCAAGUCUGGUGGUGUGGAUGAUGCCUAAUGAAGCAGCCGUCGAAUAAUAAAAUUAAUGUUGUCUUGAAAUAAAGUUGUUGUUGUGUCUUUCCAUGCUCAUUUCAUAUUCCUAGUGUUUGUUGUUUAAUUUGGUCAAGCGUCGGUCAUGUUUGUUGUUGUGUCUUAAACCUAAAUAAUGGAAUGUUUAUUUGCUAAUAUAUGGAAAACUAUGAUGCAUAUAUUAUUUGCUAAUUUCUUUUCACACACCUCUUUACUUGAUAUUACGUUGUGAGGGAUAUACAUAGCAUAACCUAAUGGAGUUCCUUCUGCGCCUGUUAACAGACACAUCACUGUCUUUUUCGCCAUAUCUGAUCCUUCUUCCAGCUCCAUGUUAGACGACAAACUCCGAUUGAAAAUAGACAAAAAGCUUGCGAUAUAGACCUUAUGAAAGUGUUAUUAAAAAUUAGUUAUACAUUGGUGAUGAAAUAUAUUUUGAAUAUUCAUUUCACAAAGAAAUAAACUAUUGAAAACAUGUUGCUUCAUUGUCUGAAAAAGUCAAAUUUUGAAGAAAAAAAAGACUAAUCAUUAGAGACCUCUAAAAUCCCAAUUGUCAACCAAAUGAAACUAACCUUAGGCCGUUAAUGAUUUAACCACAACGUUAACACGCAUGCAUGUAACCACAACGUUAAUGGUUAACAACAAGCUUACAACAACCUUAAUAAAGUGGCGAGACUUACAUCAAAGACACAAAAUCUAGAAAUGAUUGGAACUUGACUUGAAAAGAUCCAAACGCAUAAGGUUCUUCUUGUUAAUAAACAUGAACCAUUUAGAUUUUCAAUAUACUAAUACAAACUAAGACAAAUAUCUUCUCCAAUCACCACCCCAAAUCAUUACCAAACGCACAACUGUAACUAAGCAAGAAGUACAUUAGGACCAAUCUCUUAAUCGUUGUCACGGAUUGGUCGCGUGUCAAUCAAGAUCAUCAAGAUCACUUUUAUGUCUUAGUGCUUCUUCUUCUUCUUCUUCUUGUUAUUAUUAUAUUUUGGUUUCUUGAGCAAAAAGUGUUAUGUUGUGAUCUUCAUUUGCCUUAGAGACAGAUAAGCUAGGAGGCGGUAACCGAAGAUCAUGGCAACGAGUGCAACCACUUCAGUCAGUCCAUUGUCUAUUCUCAUCCCGUUGAUAGAUUGAGCAAAGUCUUUAUACUGCACUUUAAGAAGAAGCUUGUAGGUGUGGUAAUUGAAGGAUAGGUAACGUAUCCAGGAGAUGAACACCGGUAAGACCUAGGAGACAAAAAAAAGUUACCUUCAAUAUAUGUUUGAGGAUUCCUUGACCCUGCUGAGUGAUCUCCCACAUCCUUAUGGUACUAUCUUGUGAACUGCACAAUAACAUGUUAACAAGAUAAAACACCAAUAAGAAACAUUUCAGGUUAUUAUAAAAAUGUAUGUACCCUGUGUAUAUAGUUCCAUCACCACCCCAUUUGACACAGGUCACAGCUCGUGUGUGUCCACUGAGGACAAUAAGAGUUCUCUUCAGUGUAAAGUCCCAGAUCCUUGCAUCCCCAUCUUUGCCACAAGUCACAAAUCUCCUGCUUGGAUAACUAAGAUGAGCUGGUUCCCACGCGAUACCACAAAUCCACUUCUUGUGACCCUACGAAAAAUUGAAGAUCUAUCAGUAAACACACACAAAAAAAAACAUAACCAACAAAACAUUUAUAAAGUAAAGAAGAGUUUAACUGAAAGUGCAUUGCCCUGUAAUUCUCCUUUGCUUGGAUCCCAACAACAGACUUUUCCAUCUCUAUCACCGCUCACAAGACACUUUGCAUCUGGUGACCAUGCAACUGCGAGAACAUGUUCCUUGUGCCCUGAACAAACGUUACAGGAACUAUGUUUAUUACAAGAAAUCUAAAUAUAGAUAGACAUCAUUAAAAAGAAAAUCAUAAGACGUUUCGAACCUUUGCAUGUAAACAUUGGAGUUUCAGUGUUGAGAUCCCAAAGCCUUACAGUUUUAUCACCUGAACCACUUGCUAGUUGCUUACCGUCAGGGCUAAACGAAACACAGAGAAUCUCACCCUCAUGAACUAACAAAAGCCAAUCAUAAUCACUCGAACCAUCUCUUCUAAAACUCAAAUACAAAAAUCAACAUUAACUUUAACAUAUAAUAUAUAUAUACCAUCGCUUAUUGUCUGUGAGCAACGGUAAACCGGGCGAAUCCUGAAAACAGCUUGUUGUCGAUAAACAAUCUUCAAAACAUUCUCCACGGACACUAAACCACACAUGUUCAUGUCAAAACAUUAAUAAAAAAUAUACUAAGAUAAUGUUUUCUAUAGAAAACAUAAGAGACCAAACUGCUUUGCUUAUUAUUAGGGUUUUACCGCUAUUUCUCUCCAUGCAAGUUCCCACUGAGACAAGAAGCUCUUCAUCUGAUACAUAGAAGCUGUAAGAUAACUUCUCCUCCUGGAUAUUAUCAAUUUCCCAUGAAGUCAUUUCAAUAUUAGGUUCGGUAAGUAUAAUCAAUAUCAGAUUCGAAAGGAUAGAAGAAUAUACAUUGUUGAGAAACGUAUUGACCAAGUUGGUGAGCUGCAAAUGCCCUGCGUUGUGAGGGAUAUACAUAGCAGAACCUAGUGGAGUUCCUUCUGCGUCUGUUAACAGACACAUCACUGUGUUCAUCGCCAUCUCCGACGCUUCCGGCUCUAUGUUAGACGACAGACUCCGAUGGAAAAUCGACAAAGGCUUUGCCAUAUAAAUAUAAACCCUAAAAGUAAAAGUUAUUUAUUUAAGUAAAUCCUCCAAAUUAACCCUCUAUUUAUAAAUAAACCCCAAAUUUUCCUUUUGAAGUCUUAUAACCCCUAAAUUACAAUUGCCAACCUAAAUGUUUUCAUGUAACGCCGUUAAUGAUUUAACCACGACGUGGUUAACACGCAUUUAACAUUAGAGAUCUUAAACUGCAAAGGAUUUAACCACAGUGUGGUAUUUUUUUUUUGGUAAGUGGGCUUUAAUUGUUGGUUAGCAUACAACUGUCAUUCUCGGAGAUUUGGACUUUAAAGGUAGGUAGGUACAUGUGCUAGUAGUUAACAAACAAACACACACUUAACAGUAGUUCAAACGCAACAACUCAGAAACUUCAGUUUUGUGUCUUUAUCCCAUCCUCUCAACUCUCUCUAUAAAUAAGAUUUCAAGUGCAUGCAUGUCUAUCUAUAUUUCAACAUCACAAAUACAAAAGAAAGAAACUCAAAGCGACGGCCAUGGCAAAAGUUGGGGAUCUAGAGACAUGCAUCAAUAACAGAAUUAAAGAGAUCGAGGAGGAAGAAGAACGUAAUUUGAAGAUACUUAAGGAGUUGGAGACUCAGAUCAUGUCCCCAACUUAACCUUUCCAUAGUUUAAGAGCUUUAUCAAGACCACCAGAAGCUACUUUCUCACCAUCUGGACUCCAAUCCACAGCCCAAACCUUUCCAACACAACAAAAAAAACGAAAAAUUAUGAGAGAAAAGAGUGUAAAAAAAAAAAGCAAAACCAACAACUUGAGCUUUGAAGUAGUUUGAUACCUCAUCCUUAUGACCAGGGAGAUCAUGUUUUAGCUUUUUUGUUCCAAUCUCCCAUACCUGUCAAAGUCAAACAUAUUGAGGUUUAUUUGGUAGUUCUACUCUCUACUGUGUUAUCAAAUGUAAAAACAGGAUUUCACCUUGAGAGUUGAAUCUUUGCUGCAACUCAAAAGCAUCCUACUGUCAGGUGACCAACUGAUCUGAUAGACACAGUUAGCGUGGCCUCGGAAUGCUGUAAUAAAUUUUCCUGUGACACCAUCCCAUAGCUUCACAGAUUUAUCGAACGAUGCACUUGCAAUCCAUUGCCCAUUUGGUGAGAAAUACACAUGGUUUACAAGCUGUUUAUUGAGUUGACACCAAACAAAAUGUAAGAGUUCAAAAAUAAAAACAGAAACAAAAAAAAAAAAAAAAGUUUAGUAGCUAGUAGUAACCUGUUGAUGACCAGUACCAACCUGGCUGUAGUAACCAUUUUUUGUUUAGGUUGUAAGCUAACGGAUGGUUCCCAAAGGAUUAUCGUAAAAUCAUCAGAACCAGACACUAAUCUUUCAGGAGAAUCUACUUUCCCUUUUGCUUUGAUGUAUCUUUCAAGUGCAAUCUUACCACACAUAUAGGGAGAGGAUCAGAAUCAGGCUAGAAAAAGACGAGGCAAAGCCAGUAGAAUCAUCAGAAGCUUAUUGUUACCUUUUUCAUUUCUUCAUCUGAACCUGUUACUUGUCUAGUGUUGUCAAACGCUCCUGUCCGAAGAACAUAUUCUGUACUCAAUGAAAGGGAGUUCACCCAACCGGCAUGGUCCUGAAGAAGCAAGUAACUUGAGAAAUGUUAUCUUAAAGUAAAGACCUAGGAGACAAAAAAAAGUUACCUUCAAUAUAUGUUUGAGGAUUCCUUGACCCUGCUGAGUGAUCUCCCACAUCCUUAUGGUACUAUCUUGUGAACUGCACAAUAACAUGUUAACAAGAUAAAACACCAAUAAGAAACAUUUCAGGUUAUUAUAAAAAUGUAUGUACCCUGUGUAUAUAGUUCCAUCACCACCCCAUUUGACACAGGUCACAGCUCGUGUGUGUCCACUGAGGACAAUAAGAGUUCUCUUCAGUGUAAAGUCCCAGAUCCUUGCAUCCCCAUCUUUGCCACAAGUCACAAAUCUCCUGCUUGGAUAACUAAGAUGAGCUGGUUCCCACGCGAUACCACAAAUCCACUUCUUGUGACCCUACGAAAAAUUGAAGAUCUAUCAGUAAACACACACAAAAAAAAACAUAACCAACAAAACAUUUAUAAAGUAAAGAAGAGUUUAACUGAAAGUGCAUUGCCCUGUAAUUCUCCUUUGCUUGGAUCCCAACAACAGACUUUUCCAUCUCUAUCACCGCUCACAAGACACUUUGCAUCUGGUGACCAUGCAACUGCGAGAACAUGUUCCUUGUGCCCUGAACAAACGUUACAGGAACUAUGUUUAUUACAAGAAAUCUAAAUAUAGAUAGACAUCAUUAAAAAGAAAAUCAUAAGACGUUUCGAACCUUUGCAUGUAAACAUUGGAGUUUCAGUGUUGAGAUCCCAAAGCCUUACAGUUUUAUCACCUGAACCACUUGCUAGUUGCUUACCGUCAGGGCUAAACGAAACACAGAGAAUCUCACCCUCAUGAACUAACAAAAGCCAAUCAUAAUCACUCGAACCAUCUCUUCUAAAACUCAAAUACAAAAAUCAACAUUAACUUUAACAUAUAAUAUAUAUAUACCAUCGCUUAUUGUCUGUGAGCAACGGUAAACCGGGCGAAUCCUGAAAACAGCUUGUUGUCGAUAAACAAUCUUCAAAACAUUCUCCACGGACACUAAACCACACAUGUUCAUGUCAAAACAUUAAUAAAAAAUAUACUAAGAUAAUGUUUUCUAUAGAAAACAUAAGAGACCAAACUGCUUUGCUUAUUAUUAGGGUUUUACCGCUAUUUCUCUCCAUGCAAGUUCCCACUGAGACAAGAAGCUCUUCAUCUGAUACAUAGAAGCUGUAAGAUAACUUCUCCUCCUGGAUAUUAUCAAUUUCCCAUGAAGUCAUUUCAAUAUUAGGUUCGGUAAGUAUAAUCAAUAUCAGAUUCGAAAGGAUAGAAGAAUAUACAUUGUUGAGAAACGUAUUGACCAAGUUGGUGAGCUGCAAAUGCCCUGCGUUGUGAGGGAUAUACAUAGCAGAACCUAGUGGAGUUCCUUCUGCGUCUGUUAACAGACACAUCACUGUGUUCAUCGCCAUCUCCGACGCUUCCGGCUCUAUGUUCGACGACAAACUCCGAUGGAAAAUAGACAAAGGCUUUUGCGAUAUAAAUAUAAACCCUAAAAGUAAAAGUUAUUUAUUUAAGUAAAUCCUCCAAAUUAACCCUCUAUUUAUAAAUAAACCCCAAAUUUUCCUUUUGAAGUCUUAUAACCCCUAAAUUACAAUUGCCAACCUAAAUGUUUUCAUGUAACGCCGUUAAUGAUUUAACCACGACGUGGUUAACACGCAUUUAACAUUAGAGAUCUUAAACUGCAAAGGAUUUAACCACAGUGUGGUAUUUUUUUUUUGGUAAGUGGGCUUUAAUUGUUGGUUAGCAUACAACUGUCAUUCUCGGAGAUUUGGACUUUAAAGGUAGGUAGGUACAUGUGCUAGUAGUUAACAAACAAACACACACUUAACAGUAGUUCAAACGCAACAACUCAGAAACUUCAGUUUUGUGUCUUUAUCCCAUCCUCUCAACUCUCUCUAUAAAUAAGAUUUCAAGUGCAUGCAUGUCUAUCUAUAUUUCAACAUCACAAAUACAAAAGAAAGAAACUCAAAGCGACGGCCAUGGCAAAAGUUGGGGAUCUAGAGACAUGCAUCAAUAACAGAAUUAAAGAGAUCGAGGAGGAAGAAGAACGUAAUUUGAAGAUACUUAAGGAGUUGGAGACUCAGAUCAUGUCCCCAACGGAAAAAGGUCGUAGCCUUUGAUCACCUUUCUCAAACCGAUAUUGAUUAAAAAAUUCUUUCUUUUUUUUGAGAUUGAGAUUGAUAAUUUAAGAUUGAUAAUUUAGGUACGCAACAUCCGUCUACAAGUAUCAACAAGCCAAUUCUUGGGGAUGAUGUCCCAAAGGCUUCAGAUGUUGCACCCGAAGGGGGACCUUCUUUCCGCCCAAAGGGAAAGGGAAACAUGAAACCAUCUGAUGACGAUGAUGAGAAGAAGACCAAUGAAGGAAAGAGCAGCAAGUCUGGUGGUGUGGAUGAUGCCUAAUGAAGCAGCCGUCGAAUAAUAAAAUUAAUGUUGUCUUGAAAUAAAGUUGUUGUUGUGUCUUUUCAUGCUCAUUUCAUAUUCCUAGUGUUUGUUGUUUAAUUUGGUCAAGCGUCGGUCAUGUUUGUUGUUGUGUCUUAAACCUAAAUAAUGGAAUGUUUAUUUGCUAAUAUAUGGAAAACUAUGAUGCAUAUAUUAUUUGCUAAUUUCUUUUCACACACCUCUUUACUUGAUAUUACGUUGUGAGGGAUAUACAUAGCAUAACCUAAUGGAGUUCCUUCUGCGCCUGUUAACAGACACAUCACUGUCUUUUUCGCCAUAUCUGAUCCUUCUUCCAGCUCCAUGUUAGACGACAAACUCCGAUUGAAAAUAGACAAAAAGCUUGCGAUAUAGACCUUAUGAAAGUGUUAUUAAAAAUUAGUUAUACAUUGGUGAUGAAAUAUAUUUUGAAUAUUCAUUUCACAAAGAAAUAAACUAUUGAAAACAUGUUGCUUCAUUGUCUGAAAAAGUCAAAUUUUGAAGAAAAAAAAGACUAAUCAUUAGAGACCUCUAAAAUCCCAAUUGUCAACCAAAUGAAACUAACCUUAGGCCGUUAAUGAUUUAACCACAACGUUAACACGCAUGCAUGUAACCACAACGUUAAUGGUUAACAACAAGCUUACAACAACCUUAAUAAAGUGGCGAGACUUACAUCAAAGACACAAAAUCUAGAAAUGAUUGGAACUUGACUUGAAAAGAUCCAAACGCAUAAGGUUCUUCUUGUUAAUAAACAUGAACCAUUUAGAUUUUCAAUAUACUAAUACAAACUAAGACAAAUAUCUUCUCCAAUCACCACCCCAAAUCAUUACCAAACGCACAACUGUAACUAAGCAAGAAGUACAUUAGGACCAAUCUCUUAAUCGUUGUCACGGAUUGGUCGCGUGUCAAUCAAGAUCAUCAAGAUCACUUUUAUGUCUUAGUGCUUCUUCUUCUUCUUCUUCUUGUUAUUAUUAUAUUUUGGUUUCUUGAGCAAAAAGUGUUAUGUUGUGAUCUUCAUUUGCCUUAGAGACAGAUAAGCUAGGAGGCGGUAACCGAAGAUCAUGGCAACGAGUGCAACCACUUCAGUCAGUCCAUUGUCUAUUCUCAUCCCGUUGAUAGAUUGAGCAAAGUCUUUAUACUGCACUUUAAGAAGAAGCUUGUAGGUGUGGUAAUUGAAGGAUAGGUAACGUAUCCAGGAGAUGAACACCGGUACUUUCUGAAGGACACAAAACAAAAGAGCUCAGAAACAGAGGAAAUCAAGAAACAAAGGAAAUCAAGAAACAGAGAACUUACCUUAACAAAGAAUCCUCCUGCGAGCAUAAAUGUCAUGACAGUAACUGAAGCCAAAGUCGUAGCCUUCUUUAAGUCCAUUAAGAUUGCUCCAAUAGCAAGUCCAAG
rnacentral:lncRNA from 1 species